GAUGAACGCUAGCGGCGUGCCUAACACAUGCAAGUCGAACGUGAGAGGGUACUUGUAUCCUUGAAAGUGGCGGACGGGUGAGUAAGACGUAGGUGACCUGCCUUGAAGUGGGGGAUAACCAUUGGAAACGAUGGCUAAUACCGCAUAAGCUGGUGAUGAUGGGAAUCGUUAUCAGGAAAGCUUUAGUGCUUUGAGAGGGGCCUACGGCCGAUUAGCUAGUUGGUGAGGUAAAGGCUCACCAAGGCGACGACGGGUAGCCGGCCUGAGAGGGUGUCCGGCCACACUGGGACUGAGAUACGGCCCAGACUCCUACGGGAGGCAGCAGUGGGGAAUAUUGCACAAUGGGCGCAAGCCUGAUGCAGCGACGCCGCGUGGGGGAUGACGGCCUCGG
rnacentral:rRNA from 1 species